AUUCUAUGAUGGGGACAUUCUAGGAUGUAGUCUUGGAAGCGCUCCCAUGCUUCUGGAACGGAUUCAUCAUGUUGUUGCUGAAAACUUGUAAUCUUCCCACAGAGAGC
rnacentral:snoRNA from 1 species